rnacentral:rRNA from 1 species
GCUUAACACAUGCAAGUCGAGCGAGAAUCGUUUUGCUGAAGGCUUCGGUCUGACGUAGAAUGAGGAACGCGGCGAACGGGUGAGUAACGCGUGGGCAACCUGGCCUUAAGAAAAGGAUAGCCCCCGGAAACGGGGAGUAAUACUUUAUGAGAAUAGAAAAGGGCAGCCUAUUUCUAUUCAAAGCUCAAGCGCUUAAGGAUGGGCCCGCGUAUCAUUAGCUAGUUGGUGAGAUAACAGCCCACCAAGGCAACGAUGAUUAGUCGGUCUGAGAGGGCGAACGGCCACAUUGGAACUGAGAGACGGUCCAAACUUCUACGGGAGGCAGCGGUGGGGAAUAUUGCGCAAUGGAGAAUAACUCUGACGCAGCAAUACCGCGUGAGCGAAGAAGGUCUUCGGAUCGUAAAGCUCUGUUAUCAGGGAAGAAGAAAAUGACGGUACCUGAUGAGCAAGUCCCGGCUAACUACGUGCCAGCCGCCGCGGUAA